AGUGAACGCUGGCGGUAGGCCUAACACAUGCAAGUCGAACGGCAGCACAGUAAGAGCUUGCUCUUACGGGUGGCGAGUGGCGGACGGGUGAGGAAUACAUCGGAAUCUACUUUUUCGUGGGGGAUAACGUAGGGAAACUUACGCUAAUACCGAAUACGACCUACGGGUGGAAGCAGGGGAUCUUCGGACCUUGCGCGAUUGAAUGAGCCGAUGUCGGAUUAGCUAGGUGGCGGGGUAAAGGCCCACCAAGGCGACGAUCCGUAGCUGGGCUGAGAGGAUGAUCAGCCACACUUGAACUGAGACACGGUCCAGACUCCUAAGGGAGGCAGCAGUUGGGAAUUUUGGGCAAUGGGCGGAAGCCUGACCCAGCCACGCCGCGUGGGUGAAAGAGGCCUUCGGGUUUUAAAACCCUUUUGUUUGGGAAGAAAAACAGUAUGGUUAAUCCCCCCCUUUUUGACGGUACCCAAAAAAAAAGCCACGGCUAACUUCGUG
rnacentral:rRNA from 1 species